rnacentral:tRNA from 1 species
AGUAAAUUGUCUGAUUAAAGUAAUAAAUUGUAAAUUUAUUUAAAGAAAAAAAUUCUAUUUACUA